GUAGGGGGCUAGCGUUGUCCGGAAUCAUUGGGCGUAAAGCGCGUGUAGGCGGCCAGGUAGGUCUGCUGUGAAAACUCGAGGCUCAACUUCGAGAUGUCGGCGGAAACCAUUUGGCUAGAGUCCGGAAGAGGAGAGUGGAAUUCCUGGUGUAGCGGUGAAAUGCGCAGAUAUCAGGAAGAACACCCGUGGCGAAGGCGGCUCUCUGGGACGGUACUGACGCUGAGACGCGAAAGCGUGGGGAGCGAACAGGAUUAGAUACCCUGGUAGUCCACGCCGUAAACGAUGGGUGCUAGGUGUGGGCGGUGUCGACUCCGUCCGUGCCGAAGCUAACGCAUUAAGCACCCCGCCUGGGGAGUACGGCCGCAAGGCUAAA
rnacentral:rRNA from 1 species